rnacentral:piRNA from 1 species
GUGCAGAUAUAUAUGAAAGCAGAAUGUUG